rnacentral:rRNA from 1 species
UGAGGAAUAUUGCGCAAUGGGGGCAACCCUGACGCAGCCAUGCCGCGUGAGUGAAGAAGGCCCUAGGGUUGUAAAGCUCUUUCAGAUGCGAAUAUAAUGAAGGUAACAUCAGAAGAAGCUCCGGCUAAAUUCGUGCCAGCAGCCGCGGUAAUACGAAUGGAGCGAGCGUUGUUCGGAAUCAUUGGGCGUAAAGCGUAUGUAGGCGGAACAGAAAGUCAGAAGUGAAAUCCCGAGGCUCAACCUCGGAAUUGCUUUUGAAACUCCUGUUCUAGUAUCCCGGAGGGGUUGACGGAAUUCCGAGUGUAGAGGUGAAAUUCGCAGAUAUUCGGAGGAACACCAGUGGCGUAGGCGGUCAACUGGACGGGUAUAGACGCUGAGAUACGAAAGCGUGGGUAGCAAACAGGAUUAGAUACCCGCGUAGUCC